rnacentral:lncRNA from 1 species
GAUAUCACAGUAUGUAUGUCUCUGACAUCAAGGAUAUGCAACAGCAGUGCCUAACAGAAACGUCUACUAAAAAUUUGAGAUACAGACUUAUCAAAACUACAACAGAAUGCAUAUUCUAUAUUGAAACUGAAGUGCUAUCAAGUUGUUCUUUUCUCCCUUUCCUCCUUUAAGUUAUUAGAGAAAUAUAUACAUUAAUUUUCUUUUAUGUGGCUAAAAUAGCUUUCACAAUAAUCCUCUACAGCUUAUGUUCUGGCUUCCAUAUACCCUAAAGGAAUUCUGAAAAGCUAUGUACUCUCCUGCACAAUUUUAAAAUGUUUUAAAUUUAAAUAGUUACAAAAGAUGCAUUUCAGGGAAUGCUGUAUACUGUAAAUGUGAUUUAUAACUAUUUCACUAAACAAUAAUUGAAUAACUUUCAGAUUUAGCUCAUUUAUGAAAAACGUCUGUCAUACAACUUAAUUGACAAAGUCGAUCUUCACUGUCAAAAUAAACAGCAACAUCAGCUCAGUUUGUCAGAAGUCAAACUUUAUUGUUAAAUUCAAACAAACAUUAUUAAUGUCAUGGUCUCAAGGAUUAGAAGCCUCUGGAGGAAACUACAACUGCUUCUGACAUAUUACAUCAAGGUAUGAGAACUUUACAAGCUUCUCCUCUUCUUUAUCCCAAAUGAUGAUGAAGUACUUACAAUAAGGUUAACAUAAAUCUUUGUGAUAACCAUAUCACUUCUUAAUUCUUAGACAGAUAGAUAUGACAUAACAUAGAUAGAUGACAUUUUGGCUACCAAGAAUUUUUACUAUCAUCCCCCUAUAACAUUCUUUUGUGAACUCUUUUGCUUGGUACUCAGUGAACUCUCCAAUAGGAGUAAUACUUUUUUUUUUUUUUUUUUUUUUCCUGUUUGGUGCCCUAGAGGUUUUUACAUCUUGGAUCAAUGCAUAAUGGGAAAUACAUAACAGCAAAAGGGCCCAUCUCCUGGAUCUGAGAAGGAAUUACAGAUUUCAUCCAAGCUCCCGUCUGUGAAUUACAGCCAUUCACUGCUUAAAGACGGCCACUUAGAACACAAGCUUUAUAACAGCAGGGGCUCUGCUACAUCUUCCGUAUCAAGAACAGUGUCUGCAGCCAGGCGACGUAGCUUACACCUGUAAUCCCAGCAUUUUUGGAGGCCAAGGUGGGAGGAUCGCUUGAGCCCAGGAGUU